rnacentral:rRNA from 1 species
AUUGAACGCUGGCGGCAGGCUUAACACAUGCAAGUCGAACGAGUGGCGGACGGGUGAGUAAUGCUUGGGAAUCUGGCUUAUGGAGGGGGAUAACGACGGGAAACUGUCGCUAAUACCGCGUACCAUAGGAUGAGCCCACGUGGGAUUAGGUAGUUGGUGGGGUAAAGGCCUACCAAGCUGACGAUCUCUAGCUGGUCUGAGAGGAUGACCAUGCACACCGGGAUUGAGACAGCGCCCGGACUCCUACGGGGGGCAGCAGGGGGGAAUAUUGGGCAAGGGGGGCAACCCGGACGCAGCCAUGCCGGGUGAAUGAAGAAGGCCUGCGGGUUGUAAAGUUCUUUCGGUAUUGAGGCGUUAAAUACAGAAGAAGCACCGGCUAACUCCGUGCCAGCAGCCGCGGUAAUUC